rnacentral:rRNA from 1 species
UACGUAGGUGGCAAGUGUUGUCCGGAUUUAUUGGGUUUAAAGGGUGCGUAGGCGGCCUAUUAAGUCAGUGCUGAAAUAUCCCGGCUUAACCGGGAGGGUGGCAUUGAUACUGAUGGGCUUGAGUAGAGUUGAGGUUGGCGGAAUUGACGGUGUAGCGGUGAAAUGCUUAGAUAUCGUCAAGAACACCUAUUGCGAAGGCAGCUAACUAAGCUCAAACUGACGCUGAGGCACGAAAGUGUGGGGAUCAAACAGG